rnacentral:rRNA from 1 species
GAUGAACGCUGGCGGCGUGCCUAACACAUGCAAGUCGAGCGAUUCUCUUCGGAGAAGAGCGGCGGACGGGUGAGUAACGCGUGGGUAACCUGCCCUGUACACACGGAUAACAUACCGAAAGGUAUGCUAAUACGAGAUAAUAUGCUUUUAUCGCAUGGUAGAAGUAUCAAAGCUUUUGCGGUACAGGAUGGACCCGCGUCUGAUUAGCUAGUUGGUAAGGUAACGGCUUACCAAGGCGACGAUCAGUAGCCGACCUGAGAGGGUGAUCGGCCACAUUGGAACUGAGACACGGGCCAAACUCCUACGGGAGGCAGCAGUGGGGAAUAUUGCACAAUGGGCGAAAGCCUGAUGCAGCAACGCCGCGUGAGCGAUGAAGGCCUUCGGGUCGUAAAGCUCUGUCCUCAAGGAAGAUAAUGACGGUACUUGAGGAGGAAGCCCCGGCUAACUACGUGCCAGCCGCCGCUGUAA